rnacentral:rRNA from 1 species
GAGUUUGAUCAUGGCUCAGGACGAACGCUGGCGGCACGCCUAACACAUGCAAGUCGAACGGAGAUAUUUUGGUUUACUGAGAUAUCUUAGUGGCGGACGGGUGAGUAACACGUGAGCAACCUGCCUCUGAGAGAGGGAUAGCUUCUGGAAACGGAUGGUAAUACCUCAUAACAUAACGAAGCCGCAUGACUUUGUUAUCAAAGAUUUAUCACUCAGAGAUGGGCUCGCGUCUGAUUAGAUAGUUGGUGAGGUAACGGCCCACCAAGUCGACGAUCAGUAGCCGGACUGAGAGGUUGAACGGCCACAUUGGGACUGAGACACGGCCCAGACUCCUACGGGAGGCAGCAGUGGGGAAUAUUGCACAAUGGGGGAAACCCUGAUGCAGCGAUGCCGCGUGGAGGAAGAAGGUUUUCGGAUUGUAAACUCCUGUCUUAAAGGACGAUAAUGACGGUACUUUAGGAGGAAGCUCCGGCUAACUACGUGCCAGCAGCCGCGGGUAAUACGUAKGGAGCGAGCGUUGUCCGGAAUUACUGGGUGUAAAGGGAGCGUARGCGGGAUAGCWAGUCAGAUGUGAMAMC